rnacentral:misc_RNA from 1 species
UCUCCGUCGGUGAACCAGCGGAGGGAUCAUUACAGAGUUUUCACACCUCCCAACACUUUCGAACCGUACCCAUUCUGUUCUCGUUGCUUCCGGCGGGGGGGACGGGGGGGCCCGAAACGGCCUCCCCGCCCCGCCCACCGGGGGCGGCGGGCCCUACGACCCUUUAUAUCCCAACCCCCAGAAACCGUACGAGAAAACAAACAAAAUAAUCAAAACUUUCAACCACGGAUCUCUUGGCUCUGGCAACGAUGAAGCAGACAGCAAAAGCGAAGAGCACAC